rnacentral:tRNA from 1 species
AAUCUUAUAGUUUAAUUAAAACUUUAAAUUGCAAAUUUAAUAAAGAACUUAGUUUCUAAGAUUU